AGCGCCGCCGCGCCCGCGGGAGGAGGAGGAGGCUGGCAGCCGGUGACUGCGUGGGUUCCAUGGAGCAGAAAUGGAGCCCUCUAGCACACAGACUAAAGGCUUUACGCUGCAGGAGAGGAAUCCUAAAAACGUGACCUUGGGACUAUAGCAUGUCGUGGUGUCAACAUUAGGUCACUGUGUUGCUCAAACUGUGUUUCCAGUGACAAUCUAAUUAAAGCUAACAUAGUUAAUAAUAUUAACAUGUGAGUGCUUCCUCUCCACAACUCAAAAAAGCCUCAUCAGCUCGCUCUCCAACACAGAAAUGGAACUUUGCCAACUGUUGCUGCAGGCAGGAUUUGCCCUCCACAGGACCUGAAAAGGCACUUCCUGGUCUCUGCUCCGCUGAGCCUCACAGGGCACUGAGCAUGCAGGGCACUGAGGAUUCUUGCCACCCAGCCAGCAGGACAUGGUAAAAGCAGCUGUUUUUACAUGAUUUCACAUGAAUGACAUGACUAAUCCAGUACCAUAUCCAAUUGCUUAAAAUGCCUUGUCUUGAACAACCCAGAGAAAAGACAAGAUAAUGGGCCUUGGAGGGCCCUGGGGUGAUGGUGACACCAUCUCUUUCAUACAUAAUUUGAUUCAAAAUAUUUACAUAAAACCAGACUGGAGGAAGCCGGAGACAGCCAUUUGGAGCACGUUCUUUGGGCUGCGGACUCUGGAGUCUAUCAUGCUCGGCCACUCCGGUGCGGAUGAAGCCGCUGGGGCCGAAGGGAUGUCACUCCCUGGAUAAGCUGCUCGGGUUUCACGUUCCGCCACCACCGAUUCGUGUCCGGCCGUGGUGGUUUUCCGCGCAGGAACUGGACCCCUGGCUGGUAGACCCAAUUUUUGGCCAAGACGGAACCGUACUCUCGGAAAUGGAGUGGAUGAGCCAGGCUUUGCUGAGGGUGGACCCAACCGACACCGGGGAACUAGUCGAAAUCACCGUGUUUGGGCAGCCCGGCGUGAAGACUCGGGUAAAGAACAUUCUCCAGAGCCUGGCAGUGUGGUUCCGAGAACUUUGUGACCAACGAGCUAAGAAGAUAAAACGCCUUGAGGAGUUCUUGAAGGCUAGUUCACCAUAUCCAGAAACUAUCCAGCAUCCAGUUUAAUACAAACAAGAUGGCAAUAAUUAGACCAAUGAGGACAGCCUGCUGAAGAGAUGGAAGACAAGUAUUCUUAAAUCUCUACAUUACUUUUUCCUGUGCCUUUUGAAUAGUGGUUUAUUUUGUGGUAAAUGUAUUUGUAGAACUAUUCUAAUGAAAUUUGUCUGGAAUAGUCUUUUCACGUGAAAUAAAGCAAAU